ensembl:lncRNA
GUUGUGCCAGGGAGGGUUUGUUGGGCAAACGUUGAGACCAACCGUCAAAGGAGCACUUCCGCAUCGCCUGAAGAUUAAGUACCUGAGAAAGUCCCUAAAGCCAUCGACGGUUAGGAGGGAACCCAACUUCACUUUCACUGCUCAAAUAUUCUCCGUUGCACCAACGGCCGAGCCUCCAGAUGCUCGGUUGGUGGCGUGAGGACGGCACGCACGUGAAACAUGACAGUGAGGGGAGCCGCAGCACGUGUGUUCGGCUCAAAACAAGAAGAAUAAGCUCGCAGUGAGGGCCUCGCCGCUGGCGUCCAACCGUGUUUCGCGGUGGAAACCAAACACUGGCCUGUUUGGACUGGAUGUGAUCCUUGUUUCCGGGCGGAACGCUGCCAGAGGCGGAUUGAUGGCUCUCACCCAGAGGAGGACGUUUACAGGAAUAUCCUCCCGGCUGGAAUUCGCUUUUCGUUUUUUUUUUUUUAAAUUGGACUCCGAACACACGGUCGCAGUCAUGGCUGCGCGGCGGCAAAGUGUUCCCCGAGUGAUAAUGAAGGGAGUGCUGCUGUGCACAUCGCCGCGCACACAAACACGCGGUUGUAGUGUACUUGAGGGGCCGUCGCUGACAUGAUGCAUGGUGGGUACGGCCUUAACCUUAACCCGGAAUCCAACCUUGACCUGAACCCAGUCAUAAAUAACACUUCUGGUUCAUCACAACUUGGGCCUCGUUUGAUAGUUUUGGCCCACGAUGACGUGACGUACACCAAGUAACGGCUUGAGAUUGAGCAGAC